UGGCAACACUAAUACACUUUCUGUCUC
rnacentral:piRNA from 1 species